rnacentral:rRNA from 1 species
CACGUGAGCAACCUGCCCCUGACUCUGGGAUAAGCGCUGGAAACGGCGUCUAAUACUGGAUAUGUGACGUGACCGCAUGGUCUGCGUCUGGAAAGAAUUUCGGUUGGGGAUGGGCUCGCGGCCUAUCAGCUUGUUGGUGAGGUAAUGGCUCACCAAGGCGUCGACGGGUAGCCGGCCUGAGAGGGUGACCGGCCACACUGGGACUGAGACACGGCCCAGACUCCUACGGGAGGCAGCAGUGGGGAAUAUUGCACAAUGGGCGCAAGCCUGAUGCAGCAACGCCGCGUGAGGGACGACGGCCUUCGGGUUGUAAACCUCUUUUAGCAGGGAAGAAGCGAAAGUGACGGUACCUGCAGAAAAAGCGCCGGCUAACUACGUGCCAGCAGCCGCGGUAAUACGUAGGGCGCAAGCGUUAUCCGGAAUUAUUGGGCGUAAAGAGCUCGUAGGCGGUUUGUCGCGUCUGCUGUGAAAUCCGGAGGCUCAACCUCCGGCCUGCAGUGGGUACGGGCAGACUAGAGUGCGGUAGGGGAGAUUGGAAUUCCUGGUGUAGCGGUGGAAUGCGCAGAUAUCAGGAGGAACACCGAUGGCGAAGGCAGAUCUCUGGGCCGUAACUGACGCUGAGGAGCGAAAGGGUGGGGAGCAAACAGGCUUAGAUACCCUGGUAGUCCACCCCGUAAACGUUGGGAACUAGUUGUGGGGUCCAUUCCACGGAUUCCGUGACGCAGCUAACGCAUUAAGUUCCCCGCCUGGGGAGUACGGCCGCAAGGCUAAAACUCAAAGGAAUUGACGGGGACCCGCACAAGCGGCGGAGCAUGCGGAUUAAUUCGAUGCAACGCGAAGAACCUUACCAAGGCUUGAC